UACGGGGGGGGCAAGCGUUGUUCGGAAUUACUGGGCGUAAAGGGCUCGUAGGCGGCCAACUAAGUCAGACGUGAAAUCCCCUCGGCUUAACCGGGGGAACUGCGUCUGAUACUGGAUGGCUUGAGGUUGGGAGAGGGAUGCGGAAUUCCAGGUGUAGCGGUGAAAUGCGUAGAUAUCUGGAGGAACACCGGUGGCGAAGGCGGCAUCCUGGACCAAUUCUGACGCUGAGGAGCGAAAGCCAGGGGAGCAAACGGG
rnacentral:rRNA from 1 species